CCUUGCCAGCCCGCUCAAGAAACUCAAAUGAAUUGACGGGGGCCCGCACAAGCGGAGGAGCAUGUGGUUUAAUUCGAUGAUACGCGAGGAACCUUACCUGGGCUCGAACGUAAGAUGACUGUAGGUGAAAGCUUACAUCUCUUCGGAGCAUUUUACGAGGUGCUGCAUGGUUGUCGUCAGCUCGUGCCGUGAGGUGUCGGGUUAAGUCCCAUAACGAGCGCAACCCCUACCUUUAGUUGCCAUCAGGUUAAGCUGGGGACUCUAAAGGAACUGCCUACGCAAGUAGUGAGGAAGGCGGGGAUGACGUCAAAUCAGCACGGCCCUUACGUCCAGGGCUACACACGUGCUACAAUGGCCGAUACAGAGGGCAGCUACCUGGUGACAGGAUGCAAAUCUCCAAAGUCGGUCUCAGUUCGGAUCGGAGUCUGCAACCCGACUCCGUGAAGUUGGAUUCGCUAGUAAUCGCGCAUCAGCCAUGGCGCGGUGAAUACGUUCCCGGGCCUU
rnacentral:rRNA from 1 species